ACUUUGGUCCGCCGGCGAGUGGCGAACGGGUGAGUAAAGUAUCGGAACGUACCUUUCAGUGGGGGAUAACGUAGCGAAAGUUACGCUAAUACCGCAUAUUCUGUGAGCAGGAAAGCAGGGGAUCGCAAGACCUUGCGCUGAUUGAGCGGCCGAUAUCAGAUUAGCUAGUUGGUGGGGUAAAGGCCUACCAAGGCGACGAUCUGUAGCGGGUCUGAGAGGAUGAUCCGCCACACUGGAACUGAGACACGGUCCAGACUCCUACGGGAGGCAGCAGUGGGGAAUUUUGGACAAUGGGGGCAACCCUGAUCCAGCCAUGCCGCGUGAGUGAAGAAGGCCUUCGGGUUGUAAAGCUCUUUCGGCCAGGAAGAAAUCGCAUAGGUUAAUACCCUGUGUGGAUGACGGUACCGGAAUAAGAAGCACCGGCUAACUACGUGCCAGCAGCCGCGGUAAUACGUAGGGUGCGAGCGUUAAUCGGAAUUACUGGGCGUAAAGCGUGCGCAGGCGGUUUCGUAAGACAGAGGUGAAAUCCCCGGGCUCAACCUGGGAACUGCCUUUGUGACUGCGAAGCUAGAGUACGGCAGAGGGGGGCGGAAUUCCACGUGUAGCAGUGAAAUGCGUAGAGAUGUGGAGGAACACCGAUGGCGAAGGC
rnacentral:rRNA from 1 species